UUGGUUAGAACUCAACACAGGUUGGCGACGCAAUGACGCCAACAUCGAAGCUCGCGACGCCGGCAGCGAGCACCAACGGCAGAAGCAUUCUGCCCGACCUCAAUGAAGGUCGACGGGACAUAUACAGUCAAC
rfam:Pseudomonas sp. ABAC61 scaffold14_001, whole genome shotgun sequence.